rnacentral:rRNA from 1 species
UACGUAGGUGGCAAGCGUUUGUCCGGAUUUACUGGGCGUAAAGAGCGCGCAGGCGGUCGAAUAAGUCGAAUGUGAAAGCCCCCGGCUCAACUGGGGAGGGUCAUUCGAUACUGCUCGACUUGAAGGCAGGAGAGGGUAGUGGAAUUCCCGGUGUAGUGGUGAAAUGCGUAGAUAUCGGAAGGAACACCGGUGGCGAAAGCGGCGCGCUGGAUCUCUUCUGACGCUGAGGCGCGAAAGCCAGGGGAGCAAACGGG